CUUGCACAGAAGGAAAGAAGUCCUGCAUACACAAGGCUACAGCAAAGUGGCAUCUGUUUGAAAAACUGCCAGACAUGUUUAAAACAGCCCAAAGUCCAGAGAAGGAUGUUAUUUGUGGAAAAGCUGUUCCAAAAUGCCAAGAGGAGACUGCAUCAAUCUCAGAUCCAGCAGCUGAAAGGAUGAUCAAGUAUUUGAUUGCUCACAAGAAAAUGCCUUCCGAUCUUCCGAAAACACUGAUCACCAGCAGCAGAGACGCCAAGACUCUCAUGGAUUCCCCACACAUCUCAUUCCAUCUGAGACUGCAUGCACACAAUGUGGACAGAACACUCUUCUUGGUCCUCAGCUGAUAACUGCAACUGCUACAAUAGUGACUCAUGAUGGUGCAGUUAAAGGUACAUCGACAUACAGGAAAGUUUGCCCCAACUGUGACAUGGUGUAGCUAUCAAGACUGGCAAGACGGCGUCCACAACUGUGAUGAUCAUUUGCUACUGUCAAAACAUUUUUGCCUUGUGUUGAGGAGUGCACUGCAGACUUAUACUGCUGUCAGCCGUGUCUUUGAAAUCUUUGAACACACAGAAGGGGAGAGCUUUCCUAACAAGGAUCGGAUUCUACAUGCAUAUCUAUUAUUUGAGGGUCGAAGUGAUCAUGACUACCUGUAUGCAUGUGUUUCAUGUGGGUACCAUCCACACAGUAAAAAAUCCUGUGUCAAUUUAACUCUGAGUUGAAUUUAACUCCGUGUCAGAUAACAUUUGGUCCCACUCGAAAAUAGAGUAAAAUUAACUCUUUUAUCAGUGUUACAUUUUCAGUGUUAAUUUCACUCAAAUUUGUGUUAAAAUUAACACUGCAAUGCGUUAAAAUAAUUAACACUGUGGUUU